rnacentral:ncRNA from 1 species
GUUCAUUUACCGCCGGGUAAAUAUAAAGCGUUAAAUCUGUAUCGGCAGGCCAUAGGAGAUACAGAUUUGGCGCUUUAUUUUUU